CAUCAAAGCUUGCUUUGAUGGAUGGCGACCGGCGCACGGGUGAGUAACACGUAUCCAACCUGCCGACAACACUGGGAUAGCCUUUCGAAAGAAAGAUUAAUACCGGAUGGUAUAGUUUUCCCGCAUGGGAUGAUUAUUAAAGAAUUUCGGUUGUCGAUGGGGAUGCGUUCCAUUAGGCAGUUGGCGGGGUAACGGCCCACCAAACCUACGAUGGAUAGGGGUUCUGAGAGGAAGGUCCCCCACAUUGGAACUGAGACACGGUCCAAACUCCUACGGGAGGCAGCAGUGAGGAAUAUUGGUCAAUGGACGAGAGUCUGAACCAGCCAAGUAGCGUGAAGGAUGACUGCCCUAUGGGUUGUAAACUUCUUUUAUACGGGAAUAAAGUGAGCCACGUGUGGCUUUUUGUAUGUACCGUAUGAAUAAGGAUCGGCUAACUCCGUGCCAGCAGCCGCGGUAAUACGGAGGAUCCGAGCGUUAUCCGGAUUUAUUGGGUUUAAAGGGAGCGUAGGCGGGUUGUUAAGUCAGUUGUGAAAGUUUGCGGCUCAACCGUAAAA
rnacentral:rRNA from 1 species